rnacentral:rRNA from 1 species
GACGAACGCUGGCGGCGUGCCUAAUACAUGCAAGUAGAACGCUGAAGGAGGAGCUUGCUUCUCUGGAUGAGUUGCGAACGGGUGAGUAACGCGUAGGUAACCUGCCUGGUAGCGGGGGAUAACUAUUGGAAACGAUAGCUAAUACCGCAUAAUAGUAGUUGUUGCAUGACAACUGUUUGAAAGGUGCAAUUGCAUCACUACCAGAUGGACCUGCGUUGUAUUAGCUAGUUGGUGGGGUAACGGCUCACCAAGGCGACGAUACAUAGCCGACCUGAGAGGGUGAUCGGCCACACUGGGACUGAGACACGGCCCAGACUCCUACGGGAGGCAGCAGUAGGGAAUCUUCGGCAAUGGACGGAAGUCUGACCGAGCAACGCCGCGUGAGUGAAGAAGGUUUUCGGAUCGUAAAGCUCUGUUGUAAGAGAAGAACGAGUGUGAGAGUGGAAAGUUCACAC